GUGGCGAACGGGUGAGUAAAGUAUCGGAACGUACCUUUCAGUGGGGGAUAACGUAGCGAAAGUUACGCUAAUACCGCAUAUUCUGUGAGCAGGAAAGCAGGGGAUCGCAAGACCUUGCGCUGAUUGAGCGGCCGAUAUCAGAUUAGCUAGUUGGUGAGGUAAAGGCUCACCAAGGCGACGAUCUGUAGCGGGUCUGAGAGGAUGAUCCGCCACACUGGAACUGAGACACGGUCCAGACUCCUACGGGAGGCAGCAGUGGGGAAUUUUGGACAAUGGGGGCAACCCUGAUCCAGCCAUGCCGCGUGAGUGAAGAAGGCCUUCGGGUUGUAAAGCUCUUUCGGCCGGGAAGAAAUCGUAUGGGUUAAUACCCUGUGCGGAUGACGGUACCGGCAUAAGAAGCACCGGCUAACUACGUGCCAGCAGCCGCGGUAAUACGUAGGGUGCGAGCGUUAAUCGGAAUUACUGGGCGUAAAGCGUGCGCAGGCGGUUUUGUAAGACAGGCGUGAAAUCCCCGGGCUCAACCUGGGAACUGCGCUUGUGACUGCAAGGCUAGAGUAUGGCAGAGGGGGGUGGAAUUCCACGUGUAGCAGUGAAAUGCGUAGAGAUGUGGAGGAACACCAAUGGCGAAGGCAGCCCCCUGGGCCAAUACUGACGCUCAUGCACGAAAGCGUGGGUAGCAAACAGGAUUAGAUACCCUGGUAGUCCACGCCCUAAACGAUGUCAACUAGGUGUUGGGUGGGUAAAACCAUUUAGUACCGGAGCUAACGCGUGAAGUUGACCGCCUGGGGAGUACGGCCGCAAGGUUAAAACUCAAAGGAAUUGACGGGGACCCGCACAAGCGGUGGAUGAUGUGGAUUAAUUCGAUGCAACGCGAAAAACCUUACCUACCCUUGACAUGUCCAGGAGCCUGAAGAGAUUUGGGUGUGCCCGAAAGGGAACUGGAACACAGGUGCUGCAUGGCUGUCGUCAGCUCGUGUCGUGAGAUGUUGGGUUAAGUCCCGCAACGAGCGCAACCCUUGUCGUUAAUUGCCAUCAUUUAGUUGGGCACUUUAACGAGACUGCCGGUGACAAACCGGAGGAAGGUGGGGAUGACGUCAAGUCCUCAUGGCCUUUAUGCCUAGGGCUUCACACGUCAUACAAUGGUCGGUACAAAGGGUUGCCUACCCGCGAGGGGGAGCCAAUCCCAGAAAGCCGAUCGUAGUCCGGAUCGCAGGCUGCAACUCGCCUGCGUGAAGUCGGAAUCGCUAGUAAUCGUGGAUCAGCAUGUCACGGUGAAUACGUUCCCGGGUCUUGUACACACCGCCCGUCACACCAUGGGAGCGGGUUCCGCCAGAAGUAGGUAGCCUAACCGCAAGGGGGGCGCUUACCACGGCGGGGUUCGUGAC
rnacentral:rRNA from 1 species